GUGAGUUUAAUUUGUUUCAGAAUUAUUUUUCAUUAUGCCAGGAAGGCAUUUGAAUUGAUUUAUAUUUAUCAUGUGUUUGGUAUUUUACAUGUAAAUUUUGAGUUUCAGAAUAACUUUUGUAAAACUGUUUACUUUUCUCCUCACUUACUGUUAGGAUGAAAAAAAGGAACAUAAUUGCUAAGAUUCUGUCAAUUACUCUAUCAGCAAUGUUUUCUUCUUUUAAAGGGAUAAAUUGUCACAGGUAAAUGCAGUCAUAGAGAUUUAAUUACUCCAGCUCUUCCAUAUUUUUGUAUUUGUUCCUUAUACAUUCCUAUUCUAUAUUAUAUUUCAUUCUAUUGAUAGACUGCAUGUAUUUAUUAAUUCUGCUUGUGAUGAGCAUUUGGAUUGUUUUCAGUUCGGGUCUACUGUGAAUUAAACUGCUGUAAACAUUUCCAUAAUUGUCAUUUCAUGGAAUGAGCUGAUGUUUCUGCUUGGUAAGUAGACCACAGUGGAAUUAUUGGUUCAUAAAUUAUAAGAAUGUCGAGCUGUACUAGAUAUUACAAAAAUUUUUUCCAAGUUUUUUAUGCCAACUUACACCCUAUUGGCAAUUUUCAGUUCAGAAUUGAGAGUUCCAGUUCUUCAAAACCCUGAAAACACUGGUAUUGUUAGUCUUUUUAAUUUGAGCCAUUGCAAUGUGUUUUCAAUUGCAGUGUUUUUUUACUAUUUUGUUGAGAUCAUAAUAGUUUAUAACAUUGUGAUAUUUCAGUUGUACAUUAUUAUUUGUCUAUCACCAUAUAUAUGUGCUCCUUUACCCCAUUGGCCAAUCAGCAAACCCUUUCCCCUCUGGUAACUGCUAAUCUGUUAUCUUUGUCCAUGUGUUUGAUUACCUUCCACAUAUGAGUGAAGUCAUAUGGUGUUUGUCUUUCUGUCUGGAUUAAUUCACUUAACCCUCAAAGUCCAUCCAUGUAGUUACAAAUGGGAUGAUUUUGUCUUAUUUUUAUGGCUGAGUAGUAUUCCAUUGUAUAUAUGUAUGUACCCCAUAUCUUUUUUAUUCAUUCAUCAGUUGAUGGGAACCUGGGUUGCUUCCACAUCUUGGCUAUUGUGAAUAAUGCUUCAAUGAACACAGGGGUGCAUAAGUCUCUUUGGAUUAUUGAUUUCCAGUUCUUUGGAUAAAUACCAAGUAAUGGGAUAACUGGGUCAUAAGGUAUUUCAAGUUUUAAUUUUUUGCAAAAUCUCCAUACUGUUUUCCAUAGUGGCUGCACCAGUUUGCAUUCCCACCAGCAGUGUAUGAAGGUUGCUUUUCUCCAUAUCCUCUCCAACAUUUGACAUUUUUUGUCUUGGUAAUUACAGCCAAUCUAACAGGUGUAAGGUGAUAUCUCAUGGUAGUUUUGAUUUGCAUUUCUUUAGUAAUUGCUGAUAUUGAAUAACUUUCCAUGUGGCCUUGCUAUCUGUAUAUCUUCCUUGGAAAAAUGUCUGUUCAUAUCCUCUGCCCAUUCUUUUAUUGGGUUGUUUGUUUUGUUAUUGUUGAGUUGUAUGAGUUCCUCAUAUAUUUUAUGUAUAUAUAAACUUAUACAUUAUAUAUAUUAUAUAUCCAUAUAUUAUAUAUAUAUAUAUUAACUUCUUGUCAAUAUAUGAUUUGCAAAUAUCUCCUCCUAGUUGGUAGGUUGUCUUUUUGUUUUGUUUCUGGUUUCUUAUGCCUUGCAGAAGUACUUUAGUCUGAUGAAGUCCCAUUUGUUUAUUUUUACUUUUGUUUCCUUGCCUGAGUAGACAUGGUAUUCAAAAAGAUACUUCUAAAACUGAUGUCAAAGUGCGUACUACCUGUAUUUUCUUCUGAGAUUUAUAGUUUCACAUCUCACUUUCAAAUUUUUAAUGCAUUUUGAGUUAAUUUCUGUGUAUGGUGAGAGAUAACGGUCUACGUUCAUUCCUUUGCAUGUGGCUGUCCAGUUUUCCCAACACUAUUUAUUGAAGACACUUUCCUUUAUCCAUUGUAUUUUCUUAGCUCCUUUGUCAAAGAUUAGCUGUCUGUAGAUGUGUGGUUUUAUUUCUGGCCUUUCAGUUCUGUUGCAGUGAUCCAUGUGUAUGCUUUUGUACCAGUACCAUGCUGUUUUGAUUACUAUAGUUUUCUAGUAUACUAGUCAGAGAUUGUGAUGCCUCUACAUUUGUUCUUUAUUCUCAAGAUUACUUUAGCUAUUCAGAGUCCUUUGUUGUCCCCUAUGAAUUUUAGGAUUCUUUGUUCUAUUUCCAUGAAGAAUGUCAUUGAGAUUGUGAUGAAUCCUUAGAUUACUUUAAGUAGUAUGGACAUUUAAACUUUGUUUAUUCUUCCAAUCCAUGUUUAUAGAAUAUCAUUCAAUUUCUUUGUGUCACCAGUGAUUUUUUAAAAUAAUGUCUUACAAUUUUCAUUGCAUAGGUAUUUCACAUCCUGGCUUACAUUUAUUCAUAGAUAUUUUAAUCUUUUUGUUGAGAUUGUAAGUGGGAUUGUAUUCUUGAGUUCUCUUUCUUUAGAUUUGUUAUGAAGUAUAGAAACACAAUUGAUUUUUGUAACUCGAUGUUGUACCUUCCAACUUUGUGUAGUUGUUGAUUAUUUCUAAUAUUUUUCCAAUAGAUUCUUUCAGAUUUUCUAUACAUAAAAUCAUGUCAUCUGCAAGUAGUGAGAAUUUCACUCCUUAGAUGCCACUUGGAUGCCAUUUACUUCUUUUUCUUGCCUAAUUGCUUUGACCAAAACUUCCAGUGUUGUGUUGAAUAAAAGUGGUGAGAGUGGACACCCUUGUCUUGUUCUUGUUCUCAGAUUGAUGGCUUUUAGUGUUUCCUCACUGAGUAUGAUGUUUGUUCCCUUAAUAGAGAAACCUCAGUCCUUUUGAACAUAGAAAACUAUUUUAACAGACAUAGAUAUUCUGUCCUAAUGGUAAACUUACCAAAGUUAAAGAAAAACCUUGUAUAACCUCUUUAUCAAGAGCAGACUAACACUCCAGGAAAAUUAUCCAUUUACGAGAGAGAAAACCAAAUUUUAAUUUUUGCAUGAGCUUAUUUUUGACAUUAAAAUUCAUUUACUUGGGGUCAAGACAAUGUAUGAAGAAUUUCAAGAAAAUGAGAAAAUACUAAAUUCUUGAGUUUGAAAGUACUGGUCUGUGAAAAUGUGUCUAUGUAUGUGGAAGUACGUGUGUGUGUGCAUAGAGUAUGUCCCAUAAUUAUGCCUUUGUGAAGCUGUUCUAACUUCACAAAUGUAAAUGCUACUAAUAUAAAACACAUUAUUUGGAGAUUUAAUUAUAUUUUCAUUGUAAUUAUUUUAAAUAAUAGUAAAUGGUUAGUUUGAAUUUUUGUGUCACUCGUUCUGAGUGAAAAUGACAAAGAUUGAUGGAAACAAUAAAAACUUAAAUAUUCAAAAUUAAAUAAGUAUAAAAUAAAGUUCUACUUCUGGAUAGAUGAAAGUAGAAAACUUAUUAUGGGGGACGGCCUAUUGGCAGACUAUUUAAGUUUGCAUGCUCCACUUUAGUGGCCGAGGGUUCACAGGUUCAGAUCCCAGGUGUGGACCUAGCACUGCUUAUCAAGCCACACUGUGGCAGCAUCCUACAUAAAAUAGAGAAAGAUUGGCACAGAUAUUAGUUCAGUGACAAUCUUCCUAAAGCAAAAGGAGGAAGAUUGGCAGUGGAAGUUAGCACAGGGCCAAUAUCCCUUAGAAAAAGAAAAGUUAUUAUGUGGAAAAAUGAAGCAGACAUUUGCACAACAUGGAUGAAGCUGAAGGGCAUUAUUCUCAAUGAAAUAAACCAGAGAGAGAAGACAACACUGCAUGAUAUCACUUAUAUGUGAAAUCUAAAAAAAAAAAGGUCAACUUACAUAAACAGAAAGUAGAAAGGUGGUUGCCAGGGGCUAUGGGGUGGGGGGAAAAAGGGAGAAGCAGGUAAAAGGGGACAAACUUUCAACUCUAAUGUCAAGAGCUUCUGAGGAUCUAACGUCUGACGUAGUGUCUAGAGUCGAGAACACGGGAUUGUACAAUUGAAAUCAGCUAAGAGAGAAGCACUUCAAUGUUCUCACACACACAAAGUCAAUAUGUGAGGUGAAAAAAUAUCGGAGGUUAGGACAGAGGCGAAUCAGGACGUGAAUCCCUGGGAACCAGCCUAAAUUUCCAGGAGAACUUCAGACCUUCAAAGGCCAUGACAUAGGUGGGUUGAAACCAAGAAUCCAGGAGACACAAGGAACCGGGUGACAUCUGGCCUCCAGGUGGAAGGAAUAGAAAACUACCCAAGGUCUAGAAGGCCCAGGAGGGUGGAGGGAGGCAGUUGUAGGCCAGUUGGUGGGGGAGGGGCUGUGGUCCAAUCUGCUUCCCUGCUGUCCCCUCGCCUCCUCAGGAGCCCUUGUGACACGGCCACAGUUCCAUGAUGAGGGCGUGGGGUUCUAAUCUCCAAGUCACUCCCAGUGCUCAGUUGCCUGAGAGUAGAACUGUAUUGAGAUAUGGAAACUCCUAUCUUAUAUAUAAAAAGCAUUGUUGUUACCUGGCUGAGCUCCAGUUCUGCUUCCUGGGUGAUUGGGACCAUCCUCCGCAUCCUGUAUGGACUGGGGCUCUUCCUCCUGUUCCUUCCCUCCCUCCAGAGGAAUUUGCCCUUACAACCACCUUACAAAAGGAGAAACGUCAGGAAGCAUCAAGUGGAGCCAAGAGGGAGGAGCAGCAGGAGCAGGAAGAAAAGGGGAGCUUUGAAAGCUUACAGAGCUGGCUGGAAGGACCUGGCAGAAGUGCGGGGCCAGAUGUCGCUUUCGCAAAGGGCCCUCGGCUCCUGGGUGCAGCUUGUGCCGCCUGUCUCCCGCAGCUCCCCGGCGAGGCUGUCUUCUAAGGGAUGCUUCCAUCGCUUGUCAUCUCAAGACGCCCCGGGGGUGGCCUGCAAGACAGCGUCUUCCAGAGUCCGCCAACCAUGCGGGAAGCCUGUGGAAGGCCUGGGAAGCUGGACAUGCCUGUUACCAUGAUGUUCCCUCCUCCCCAGACCAGAGAAGAACAAUGACAGAGGUCAGUCCCCAAACUACCUCCAGGGACCACAACUGUCUGAAUAUGAGGGAAUGGAUCAAAACAAGCAUGGCAACUGGACCUUGCCAUCCAGGCAGCCGCAGUCCCCAGCCAAACCCUGCCAGCCUGGGCUGAGGGUGGCAGCUGUCUCAGGCAAUCCAUUACCCGCCAUGCUGUCUCCAGAUAUGUGUCUCCUGGGAUGAGUAGACUGUGCCUGACACACCUUUCCUCGUAGGUAUGCUUAUCUCCCCAAACGGGGAAGUGGAGGAAAAGAAAACCUGGUUUUUCUCCUUAUCCCACCCUCUGUGCUAAUGGUGUCUUCCUACCCCAAUUUUCCCCAAAUACAUUUUUUUCUCCUUAGAGUUCAUGGCUUCUGUCUGUGCCCUGCUAGUGGUAAAAACGGGGUGAGGCUCCGCCCUUCCUAAGUGUCAGCUUUGGCUUCCAGAAGGGACAGGGCCAUGGGGGGAGGCUGACUGCAGCAUGGCUCACCCGCCCUCAUCCCGACUCCCUCAUUGCACCUGAAGUCCCC
rnacentral:lncRNA from 1 species